rnacentral:rRNA from 1 species
GACGAACGCUGGCGGCGCGCCUAACACAUGCAAGUCGAACGGAGCUGCGAGAAGCUUGCUUUUCUUAGCUUAGUGGCGAACGGGUGAGUAACGCGUGAGUAACCUGCCCUGGAGUGGGGGACAACAGUUGGAAACGACUGCUAAUACCGCAUAAGCCCACGAUUCGGCAUCGGAUUGAGGGAAAAGGAUUUAUUCGCUUCAGGAUGGACUCGCGUCCAAUUAGCUAGUUGGUGAGGUAACGGCCCACCAAGGCGACGAUUGGUAGCCGGACUGAGAGGUUGAACGGCAACAUUGGGACUGAGACAAGGACCAGACUCCUACGGGAGGAAGAAGGGGGGGAUAAUGAACAAUGGGGGAAACACUGAUGCAGCGACGCCGCGUGGAGGAAGAAGGUUUUCGGAUUGUAAACUCCUGGCGUUAGGGACGAUAAUGACGGUACCUAACAAGAAAGCACCGGCUAACUACGUG